GACGAACGCUGGCGGCGUGCCUAAUACAUGCAAGUCGAGCGCUGAAGGCUGGUACUUGUGCCAACUGGAUGAGCAGCGCACGGGUGAGUAACGCGUGUGGCAUCUGCCUUUGAGCGGGGGACAACCUGUGGAAACGAAUGCUAAUACCGCAUAAACACCUGAAACAUAAGUUUGAUGGGUGAAAGAUGCAGUUGCAUCACUCACAGACGAUUUAGCGUUGUGUUAGCUAGGUGGUGAGGUAAAAGAGCACGAAGGUGAGGAAAGAUUGCCGACCUGAGAUGGUGAGCAGCCACAUUGGGAGUGUGACACGGCCCAAAGGCCUACGGGAGGCAGCCAGAGGGGAACGUCGGCAAGGAGCGGAAGACUGACCGAACAGCGCCGCGGGAGGAAAGAGGGAUUUCGGGUCGUAAAACACUGUUGGUAGGGAAGAACGUUGGUGAGAGUGGAAAGCUCAGUAAGUGACGGUAACUAGUAAGAAAGCAACGGCUAACUACGUG
rnacentral:rRNA from 1 species